GGUUUGCAGCUCAGUGGUAGAGCACUUGCUUAGCAUGUGUGAGGCACUGGGUUCGAUUCUCAGCACCA
rnacentral:tRNA from 1 species